UACGAAGGGUGCAAGCGUUACUCGGAAUUAUUGGGCGUAAAGAGCUCGUAGGCGGUGUGUCACGUCGGCCGUGAAAACCUGCAGCUUAACUGUGGGCGUGCGGUCGAUACGGGCAUCACUGGAGUUCGGCAGGGGAGACUGGAAUUCCUGGUGUAGCGGUGAAAUGCGCAGAUAUCAAGAGGAACACCGGUGGCGAAGGCGGGUCUCUGGGCCGAUACUGACGCUGAGGAGCGAAAGCGUGGGGAGCAAACAGG
rnacentral:rRNA from 1 species